GCGGCCUAUCAGCUUGUUGGUGAGGUAAUGGCUCACCAAGGCAACGACGGGUAGCCGGCCUGAGAGGGCGACCGGCCACACUGGGACUGAGACACGGCCCAGACUCCUACGGGAGGCAGCAGUGGGGAAUAUUGGGCAAUGGACGCAAGUCUGACCCAGCGACGCCGCGUGCGGGAUGAAGGCCUUCGGGUUGUAAACCGCUUUCAGCAGGGAAGAAGCGAAAGUGACGGUACCUGCAAAAGAAGCACCGGCUAACUAUGUGCCAGCAGCCGCGGUAAUACAUAGGGUGCAAGCGUUGUCCGAAAUUAUUGGGCGUAAAGAGCUCGUAGGUCGUUUGUCGCGUCGAUUGUGAAAAUCUGAGGCUCAACCUCAGACCUGCAGUCGAUACGGGCAAACUAGAGUGUGGUAGGGGAGACUGGAAUUCCU
rnacentral:rRNA from 1 species